rnacentral:pre_miRNA from 1 species
CAGAUACUCCCUCCGUCCCAAAAAGCUUGUCUUAGAUUUGUCUAGAUACGGAUGUAUCUAGAUACAUCCGUAUCUAGACAAAUCUAAGACAAGCUUUUUGGGACGGAGGUAAUACUAU